rnacentral:rRNA from 1 species
UGAGCAACCUGCCCUUGACUCUGGAAUAACAGCUGGAAACAGCUGCUAAUACCGGAUACGACCUCCGAUGGCAUCAUCUGGAGGUGGAAAGCUCCGACGGUCAAGGAUGGGCUCGCGGCCUAUCAGCUAGUUGGUGUGGGUAAUGGCCCACCAAGGCGACGACGGGUAGCCGGCCUGAGAGGGUGACCGGCCACACUGGGACUGAGACACGGCCCAGACCUCUACGGGA